rnacentral:rRNA from 1 species
ACUAUGCCCCGCCGUAAACAUAGAUACUCUUACACAACCCGUAUCCGCCAGGGGACUACGAGCACUAGCUUAAAACUCAAAGGACUUGGCGGUGCCUCAGACCCCC